AUUUUUUCGGUUUGGUUUGGGAUUUUUGGGAUUUUUUUCCAGCCCUAUGUACAAUUUACAUCGAUCAAUACAAAGCCUUCAUUGUUUCUUUCUCAAUUUCUCUGAAUUCUUCUUGUUGUUCAUCUUUCUUAGUUUUUUGGCAUAUCAAUUCGACACUGUUAAGAUGGUAUCAAUCGCCCGGACGAUCCUCAGUGUUAUCUCUUCCGCGGAAGUUAAAGAACUGGAGAUUUCAUUGCAGUUCUUAGAGGCUUGCUGAUCAGUUUUCUGCGAUUCUUGGCUCGUUGGAUCUUGAAUCAGGUCGUUUAUUUUCUUCCUUUACUAUCUGCACAUCAAGUGUUUGUGUUUAUGCAUCAGUGAAGAUAUAUGGAGAAUUGGGGUGUUUCUUUUGGUUUUUUCGUAUCUAGGUUUCUUUCUGUACAUGAUUAAGGCCGAUGCCAAGAGUUGUUGAUGGUAGAAGAACUGUAUGUGUUUCUGUGAUAAGGACUGGCGUCAAAGAUUUGUGCAAUUGUUGACAUGUGUGCAUUUGUAGUGUGUGAAUCAACAAGGCCGAUGCCAAAUGUAUGAGCUUGUUGUCUUGAGAAGUUGAUAAUUGUUGGAGUUAAAAGGAUUAGUAAUUGAAGUUGAAUGUUGUUAUGCUGUGAUUUGCGAAUUCUAAAUUUCUUGACAGAUUGGUGUAAAUUGUGAUCAAUUGUUGAAGAUUUGUGUUUGUUGUGAAAAGAAUUAAGUGAUCAAGAUGUCUGAUAAAUCAGUAUGCAUUUAAAGUUUGCUUGGGAUGUUAACUCUGAAGUUGCAAGAUGACAAUUUUGUUAAGUGUAAUUAUCAGUUUUAGUUUUUAAGAGGGUAUGAUUUCUUGGAGUUCUUUAGUGGUGAAUCUCCUUGCCCACCAAAGUUUGUGAUUGAUACUGAGACUGGAGUGACUAAAGAAAUAACAGAGGCUUAUAAAUCUUUGGUUCAGAAGGAUAUGGCACUAUUGAGUUUGUUGAUUGCUACUCUAUCAGAUGAUGUUAUGGAAUAUGUAAUAGGGUGUAAGACAUCACUUAUCAAGGUGCACUUUCACCUCUUUCUCUCACUGCUUAUUCAGCUCAAGCUCCAACACAGGUCUCUGCAGCUAAAUUUGGACAACAUGCACAAGCAAUUUUUGCUGCUGAUACUUGGAUCUGGUGCCUCCCAUCACAUGACACCAAACCUCAGAAAUCUGAAUCAACCAGUACAAUUUAACGGUAAACAGAAGAUCACUAUUGGUAAUAGUGAAGGUUUGACUGUUAAACACAUUGGUUCUGUAACUCUUUCUACUCCACAACAUUUAUUGUUUUUAAGAAAUAUACUACAUGUUCCAACAAUUAGUCAAUCUUUUAUUUGUAAAGAAACUUUGCAAGGGUAGUGGUUGCUAGUUUAUUUGUGAUGAAUUGUGUUUUUCAUACAUGACAAGGUAACAUGAAUGAUAUUGUACCAAGGCAGGAGUAAAGGAGAGCUAUAUGAGAUAUCUGUGAAUGUGUUUUCAAGAAGGUUUGUUGCUGGUUCAAAUAAGGCAAUUGCAUUACUUGGAAAAGCUGUGACAGUUUCAGUUUGGCACAAGAGACUUUGGCACCCAUCUGAGGAAGUAUUCUCUGCUAUUCUCAGAAAUUUUAGACAUUCUGUUAGUGAGGAUCUUUCACCUUCAGUUUGUUCUUCUUGUUUGUCUAGAAAAAUGUGUAGGCAACUAUCGAUCUACCCUUUUUUAUCAGAUCGAUUUACCCUUUUUUUAGAAUUCUUCGUUUAAAUUUGCAGGGUUUAGGAUAAUUUUUCUUUUAAAGUUAUGGGCUCUUUUGAUAUGAUUUUUUUUAUCUGAAUUAUUCAUUUAAUUUCUGAGAUCUUUUAUCAAAUCUCCAAAUUGACUCAUAAUGAUUAGGCUUGAAACAAAUGCUGUAAAUUAGUUUUGGUGGAGGAGUUGUUCCGCAACCUGAGGAAGAACAGAGCAAUGUUUUCGAAAUAAGAGUGCUGUGUUGGAAAUAGCAAUGCAAGGGCGAGAUCUGAUCGGUUGCACUUGAACAAGUUCAUCGUUGUCGUACCAUCCCAAUUUUGAAGAACAAUCCAUGAGGAUGACAUACUAACUUCCUCAAUUUUUGGCAUGUAAUAUAUGAAUGUAUAUAGUACUCUCUGGCUAUGGCGUAUUACCAUCCCAAUUUUUGUAAUGUAAUAUAAGAAUGCAAAUAGCACUCUUUAACUGUGCCAAAUCAGCAUCCUCAAUUUUCUCAUGUAAUAUAUGUAUAUAACCCUAAUCUUUGGCACAUAUUUUCUCACGUAUAUAUGCCCUACU